UUAUAAACCUAACCCUUGAUUUCCUAAAUACCCAUGUUUAUGAUACAUACCACUACCUAUCUAGUACCCUUCUUUCUUGUUCAUCCAACUAGUAUAUUCAUCAAUUUUGUUUUUUUGGGUUUCUUCAUCAAUUUGUGGGUUUCUGUGGGUUUGUUACAUUUACCAUAAUAGAUUUUGUGGUUUCUUCAUCAAUUUGUGGGUUCGGUUGGUAUUCAUUUUGUGGGUUUGUUUGUUAUUCGAUUUGUGGGUUUGUUCUUCAUUUCUGGUUUGAAGAACACUGGUAAGAUCCUUGAUGAUGAUAAUCCUUAAAGGGUUGAUGUUGAUAACCCUAAAAGGGUUGGUGAUGAUACCCCAAAGGUGAUGAUUACCCUAAUUAUCCUGAUGAAUCUAAUGGUGACUAUGAAUCAUCUAUUGAGACUAAUCCAUGUUGGGGUCGAGAACUAGAUUCUGAGGGUGAAGCCAUCUACAGUUCAGAACCGGACGAUCCUAACCAUGUGUAUUACUCGAUAGAUGCUGUAUUUGCUUGAUGUGAUUGUGAGGAAGAAUGGCUUGAUAGCCUUGGUCCAUUUACAAUCGAUGAAAAAAAAAAAAAGCAAUCACAUGAUCAGCAAAGACUGCUAUUAUCCCGAAGCUGUUGAGGAGUUGAAAAGGCUUGCGGAAAUUAAGUAGUCGAUCUAUGUAAUUUUAUUUUUCGUUGUAAAAACAGUUAAAUGUAAUGUAUCAGUAUUUAUGAAUUUUAAUCAAUGGUUAAUUAUGUAAUGCAUAAAUUCAUGAAUGUAUUAGUCAGGACUUGUAUUAGAUUUUCAAUAUUAUUGGAUCAUUUAUGA